rnacentral:rRNA from 1 species
GCCCAAACCAAGAAGCUUGCUUCUUGGGGUUGUAGGACACUCUAUACGGAGUUACAAAAGAAAGUUAUAAAUGAAGCGGUCUGGAAAGGCCCGCCAAAGACGGUAACAGCCCGGUAGUUGAAAUGGCAUUCCCUCCAGAGUGGAUCCUGAGUACGGCGGAACACGUGAAAUUCCGUCGGAAUCCGGGAGGACCAUCUCCCAAGGCUAAAUACUCCCUAGUGACCGAUAGUGAACCAGUACCGUGAGGGAAAGGUG